AUGGUUUUGACCAAAUCAUUACUUCUUUUCCCUACUUUUGAUCCGCUGUCAUUUGCAGCAACCAUGAAUCCUAGUGAAGAAUCUGGGCAUUGGUGCUUGAUUGUUCUGAAUUUGAGGUUCCGUUGUUUCGAGUGUCUUGAUUCACUGCGCGAUGAAACCUGGAGUGAUGCAGUUAGAUUCUUAAGGACUAUGACACAUAACAUCAAGAAGCUUUGGAGGGAGUCCAGCGUAGACAGGGUCAAACCGUUCUCGCCGGUGCAUAUUGAUGGUUUCUCUUGCGAGUUUGUCUGCAAGACCUAUCAUUGCCGGGAGGAUGGAGUGAUUGAAAUGUUGGAUUAUAGCCAUGAAGACGUUCUUGACAUUAGGAAGACUUUCCUGUAUAGCUGCGCAACUAGUGAUGUGUUUGAUGUUGACUUUCUUGGUGAGUGGCUGGAUCUUGAUGAGCAUGACUACAGGAUCUUUGGCAGCCGGUUCUUAGAACUCGAGCGCGUAUCUAUUGAUCUUAGACAGAGGCAUUCUCCAGAAAAGACAAGGUCUGGUGUUAUUAAGGGGCGGUUGGGAGCUCUGAAAGGUUCUAUGGCUGCUUGUGCAGAGAGCCCCUCUACAACCAAGAAUCCUAUCGUGGAAUUGAUAGACAUCGAUGAUGAUGCAUUUGAUAAGAUUGCUGGCAUGAGAAGAGUCACCAGGAGCGCUGCUGCUACCAAGGGUUUAUCCCCACUUGCUGGAAUAGUGUCCCGUAGAGCUGGUGGUGCUAGGAAGGAUCCUGCUUUGGAUUCUGCCCAUGUGCAGUAG
rnacentral:rRNA from 1 species